UCCCCAGAUGAUCUCAACAUGACACAUCAGCACUGUGUCUGGCUGGCUUUUCGCCUCGGUUCAGCUCAACUCACAGAGUGGCAGAUUGUUCAAGAGGAACACUGGAAUACAUAUUUGGACAAUGUGAACUGGCACUCCAGAAUUUACAAACUGAUUCUAAUUCAAUGGCUUUAUCUCUGAAAUCAGUGGAAACUGCAGUUGUAAAGCAAGUGGAAGAAAUACAUAAUGAGGUUGAAUUUGAGUGGCUUAGGCAGUUUUGGUUUCAAGGCAAGCGGUAUUUGAAAUGCACUGACUGGUGGCUUAAGCCUAUGGCUAAACUGGAAGAAUUUUGGAGAAAAAUGGAGAUUAUGGUGAGGAGGGAAAGGAACUAGCAAAACAAGGAACAUAGAAUUGAAGUUCUAACAUUAUAAAUGUCAGCACUUCGAAUGUGAACGAUAAGAUCCAGCUUGGUAACUAAGAUCUGCUUCGGGAAGGAUGAAGAAAGUUGUUUGCUGACAUUGCUCAUAUACCUAGAGAAACGUAUUUAGUGGCUUUUUUAUUGAAGGUUAUAUUGUGUCUAAAUACGUAUUAUAUUGUAACUUUGGUCCUGUUUCAAAGUCUGCUGAGAUCUACUUCUUUUUGAAUGUCACGAACAACUAUUUCUUUACUUGGAUUGAACCAGAAUUAUUUGCUAAAGUGCUGUAAUCUCUUCUCAGAACAACUGUUUGAAUGGUUGAUAUAAUGGACAUCAGCUAUUAACAUGGUUCUCAUCAUUAGGGCUAGGAAUCUGGUACUGUGAAUUUGUGAUGCUCUUCUUCUGAUGACACUUUUCAUAAGUAAAAUUCAUACAGUUAAGCUACUGCACAGUCAGACUAUGCUGCUGUGGUCAGAAGACAGGAUUCUAUAUCUACAGUGUUUGAACUGGUUCUCCAGUUUCUGGUUUCCCAAGGAGGAUAUAAGUGAUGGCUCCAUUAUAAAUGUUUUAGAUCACAUUGACGGCUGUGAAAAUUAAACGUAGCCAGCAAAAUCUUUUUUCUGUCUGGCCAAGCAGAGGAAAGAACAGGUGAAAAAAUUCCCUGGGAAAAUUAGUUCUAAUGAAGAGUGGAGAAUCUUUUCCUUUUUGCUGUAUUUAUUUUAUUGCAUUCUCCAAUAAAUAAGAAUAGCUUUGGUUUCUUUCUGUUAUGCACAUUUAUCGUUUAAUGACUUGGAAUAUGGCUUCUCGGCCACGUUGUAGAACACAUGGCUAAACUUUCUCUAAACACAGGGAAAAUUUUCUCUUUGGGAUAGCUUCCAGAACAG